rnacentral:rRNA from 1 species
CCUACGGUGCGCAGCAGUGGGGAAUAUUGCACAAUGGGGGGAACCCUGAUGCAGCGACGCCGCGUGAGUGAAGAAGUAUUUCGGUAUGUAAAGCUCUAUCAGCAGGGACGAAAAUGACGGUACCUGACUAAGAAGCCCCGGCUAACUACGUGCCAGCAGCCGCUGUAAUACGUAGGGGGCAAGCGUUAUCCGGAUUUACUGGGUGUAAAGGGAGCGCAGACGGCUGUACAAGUCUGGAGUGAAAGGCGGGGGCCCAACCCCCGGACUGCUCUGGAAACUGUAAAGCUGGAGUGCAGGAGAGGUAAGCGGAAUUCCUAGUGUAGCGGUGAAAUGCGUAGAUAUUAGGAGGAACACCAGUGGCGAAGGCGGCUUACUGGACUGCAACUGACGUUGAGGCUCGAAAGCGUGGGGAGCAAACAGGAUUAGAUACCCCAGUAGUC